rnacentral:rRNA from 1 species
GAUGAACGCUGGCGGCGUGCUUAACACAUGCAAGUCGAACGGUGAAGCUUGGUCUUGCCAUCGUGGGUCAGUGUCGAGAGCGUGAGUGACACGUGUGUGUCCUGCCCCUCACUCUGGGGUAUGCACUGGGAACGGGAUCUCUAACACGAUAUAAACAUCCAUUUCGUGGGAUGUUGGUUGGAAGGGUUCUCGGGCAUGGCUGGACGCGCGACCUAUCAGCUUGUUGGCGGGGUAAUGGCCCACAAAGGCGACGACGGGUAGCCGGUCUGAGAGGGUGACCGGCCACACGGGGACUGAGACACGGCCCAGACUCCUACGGGAGGCAGCAGUGGGGAAUAUUGCACAAUGGGCGAAAGCCUGAUGCAGCGACGCCGGGUGAGGGAUGACGGCCUUCGGGUUGUAAACCUCUUUCAGCAGGGAAGAAGCGAAAGUGACGGUACCUGCAGAAGAAGCACCGGCUAACUACGUG